rnacentral:tRNA from 1 species
AAAGGUAUAGCUCAGUGGUAGAGCACAUGCUUAGUAUGCACAAGGUCCUGCAUUCAACCCCCAGUACCUCCA